ensembl:snoRNA
UCUGGCGAUGAUGACACACUUGCCCUCACUGAGAACGUGGUUCAGUAAUGAGAACCUCACCGAGUACUCAGCUGAGCCAGA